UGAGGAAUAUUAGGCAAUGGGGGAAACCCUGACCUAGAGACGCCGUGUGAAGGAAGAAGGUCUUUGGAUUGUAAACUUCUGUCGUGGGGGAAGAUAAUGACUGUACCCCAAAAGGAAGUACCGGCUAACUCUGUGCCAGCAGCCGCGGUAAUACAGAGGGUACUAGCGUUGUUCGGAAUUAUUGGGCGUAAAGGGUGCGUAGGCUGUCUUUUUAAGUCAAUUGUGAAAUUCUGGAGCUUAACUCCAGCGCUAUAAUUGAUACUAUAAGACUAGAAUAUGGAAGGGGUAGAUGGAAUUUCCAGUGUAGGAGUGAAAUCCGUAGAUAUUGGAAGGAACACCAGAGGCGAAGGCGAUCUACUGGGACAUUAUUGACGCUGAGGCACGAAGGCGUGGGGAGCAA
rnacentral:rRNA from 1 species